UACAGAGGGUGCAAGCGUUGUUCGGAAUUAUUGGGCGUAAAGAGCUCGUAGGCGGUUUGUCGCGUCUGCCGUGAAAGUCCGGGGCUCAACUCCGGAUCUGCGGUGGGUACGGGCAGACUAGAGUGAUGUAGGGGAGAACGGAAUUCCUGGUGUAGCGGUGGAAUGCGCAGAUAUCAGGAGGAACACCGGUGGCGAAGGCGGUUCUCUGGGCAUUACCUGACGCUGAGGAGCGAAAGCAUGGGGAGCGAACAGG
rnacentral:rRNA from 1 species